UAAAAAGGUACUCAAGGGCACAAAAUGGAUGCCUAGACGUAUAUUACCGAUGAAGGACGUGGAAGACUGCGAUAAGCUUCGGGUAGCUGUCAACAAGCGACAAUCCGGAGAUUUCCGAAUGGGGAAACCCAAUACGAGUCAUGUCGUAUUAACUCUAUCUGAAUAAAAUAGGAUAGCUGUAGGGAACCAACUGAACUGAAACAUCUUAGUAGGUUGAGGAAAAGAAAGUAAAUAACGAUGGCGGGAGUAGUGGCGAGCGAAACCGUUAGAGCCCAAACCUUAUAAUCUUUCUUCUUUUAGAAGAAUAAGCUGACAGGCGAAUGAUUAUAAAGGGGUUGUGAUAUUACACGAGACCAAGCUAGAGCACUUAAGUAAUUAAGUUAUCUAGUUUGCGACUAGAGACUGUCAUCUUCUAGAUAAGGUAAGAAAUUAGCGUGGUUAGCAGAAUAGUUUGAAUGACUAGCCAAAGGACGUGAAAGCCGCGUAUGCGAAAACGACGCUGACCUUAUACGUGUUUUAUCGAGUAGGGCGGGGCACGAGAAACCCUGUCUGAAUCCGGCUGGACCACCAGCCAAGGCUAAAUAUAAUAUACGAUCGAUAGUGAACUAGUACAGUGAUGGAAAGGUGAAAAGAACCCCGGGAGGGGAGUGAAAUAGAUCCUGAAAUUUUGUGCCUACAAGGAGUCGGAGCCCCUCGGGGUGACGGCGUGCUUUUUGUAGAACGAUCCAGCGAGUUAAUUUCGUGCGCAAGGUUAAGUCAAGUGACGGAGCCACAGUGAAAGCGAGCCUGAAUAGGGCGAUUAAGUGCACGGGAUUAGACCCGAAACCGGGUGACCUAACCAUGAGCAGGUUGAAGCUUCUGUAACAGGAAGUGAAGGACCGAACCGUAGUCCGCAGCAAAGGGCCCGGAUGACUUGUGGUUAGAGGUGAAAUGCCAAUCGAACUCGGAGAUAGCUGGUUCUCCUCGAAAUAGCUUUAGGGCUAGCGUCAUGUAGUAGCAUAUGGGGGUAGAGCUCUGAAAAGGACUGGGGCUGGCAACGGUACCCACCCUUAUCAAACUACGAAUACCGUAUGUGUAAUCAUGGCAGUUAGAACGUCGGGGCUAAGCUCGACGCUCGAAAGGGAAACAGCCCAGACCAUCGUCUAAGGUCCCUAAAUUAUCACUCAGUGGGAAACAAGGUGAGAUUUCUUAAACAGCUAGGAUGUUGGCUUAGAAGCAGCCAUUCAUUUAAAGAGUGCGUAACAGCUCACUAGUCAAGAGAUCUUGCGUGGAAAAUGUAACGGGGCUAAAGUGAUAUACCGAAGACAUGGAUUUGCAAUUUAUUGCAAGUGGUAGAGGAGCGUUCCUAUCAGCAGUGAAGUCAGACCGUAAGGUACUGGUGGAGCGUUAGGAAGUGAGAAUGCUGGAAUGAGUAACCAUAAGACAGGUGAGAAUCCUGUCGGCCGUAAGAGCAAGGUUUCCUGAGCCAUGGUAAUCAUCUCAGGGUUAGUCGGGCCUAAGCCGAGGCGCAUAGCGUAGGCGAUGGACAUCAGGUUAAUAUUCCUGAACCGGUUAUAAUUUGUACACUGUUCACGGUGAGAUAGUCAGAGCGGAUUCAUGGUAUGUAUCCGUCCAACCUAGCGGGAACGCAAAGGGAGCGAAAGUUGAUCUUCGGAUUAACGAUUCUGGUGAAAGCACUGGCGAGAAAAGCAGGUGUACGUGUGAUUAUAGCCGCCCGUACCGCAAACCAACACAGGUGCUCGAGUCGAGUAGACUCAGGCUUACGAGAGAACCUUCGCUAAGGAACUCGGCAAUACAGCGACCGUAACUUCGGGAUAAGGUCUGCCCCCUCUUCUUUGAAGAGGAAUUGCCGCGUACACUCAGCAAGGUGGUUAAAUCGUCCAAGUGUAAUGACUUGGACAUGAGUACGCAACGUAUCUUAAGCCCUCAAGCUUUAGAUGCGUUCGUGAUAAAUCCUUUUUAAUCACAAAUUAUUCUUACUGAGAUAGAGCAAAUGAUUCAAUCAUGCACACGCAUGGAGUUAAAAUGCUCUUUUGUACGCGGGCACAUUCGUCUUUAUAGAUGAGGGGGCCGCAGCAAAAGAGCCCACGGAACUGUUUAUCAAAAACACAGGUCUCUGCUAACACGAAAGUGGAUGUAUAGGGGCUGACUCCUGCCCGGUGCCGGAAGGUUAAGGCGAAGGCUUCACGGUCUGAACUGAAGCCCCGGUGAACGGCGGCGGUAACUAUAACCGUCCUAAGGUAGCGAAAUUCCUUGUCAGGUAAGUUCUGACCCGCACGAAUGGAGUAAUCAUGUGGGCACUGUCUCAGCGAAGGACUCGGUGAAAGUGCAUUGGCGGUAAAGAUGCCGUCUGUCCGUACCAGGACGAGAAGACCCCAUGGAGCUUUACUACAGUUUUACAUUGAUACGAGUUUUGGCCUGUGUAGAAUAGGUGGGAGACGUUGAAGCAGAUACGCUAGUAUUUGUGGAGUCGAAAUGUGAAAUACCACCCCUGCCAAGGUUUUUAUCUAACCUGUGCCGUUAUCCGGUAUGGGAACAGUGUAUGAUGGGUAGUUUAACUGGGGCGGUUGCCUCCUAAAGAGUAGCGGAGGCGUUCAAAGGUUGGCUAGCAACGGAUGGAAAUCGUUGUGAUAGUGUAUGCGCAAAAGCCAGCUUGACUGUGAGGAGUACAUUCCAAGCAGAGACGAAAGUCGGAGCAAGUGAACCGCUGUACGUACAAUUUGUACAUAUAUGUGGGAAUGACAGCGAACACGGAUAAAAGUUACCCUGGGGAUAACAGGCUUAUAGCGCCCAAUAGUUCACAUAGACGGCGCUGUUUGGCACCUCGAUGUCGGCUCAUCACAUCCUGGAGGGGGAGCACCUUCCAAGGGUUCGGCUGUUCGCCGAUUAAAGUGGUACGCGAGCUGGGUUCAGAACGUCGUGAGACAGUUCGGUUUAUAUCCGGUACGGACGUCAGGAAAUUUGAGUGGAUUUGCCCCUAGUACGAGAGGACCGGGGUGAACGUACCUCUGGUGUAUCGAUUGUGGCCACCUGCUGCAUUGUCGAGUAGCUAUGUACGGUUCUAGAUAAGCGCUGAAAGCAUAUUAAGCGCGAAACUGACCACAAGAUUAGAUUUCCCUAUGAGGACACAGAAAGAUUAUCUGUUUGAUAGGUGCAAGGUAGAAGUGUAGUAAUACAUGUAGCUGAAGCAUACUAAUAGUCCCAUCGCCUUUUUAUG
rfam:Candidatus Saccharibacteria bacterium 49-20 SCNpilot_bf_inoc_scaffold_22, whole genome shotgun sequence.